UACGUAGGGUCCAAGCGUUGUCCGGAUUUACUGGGUUUAAAGGGUGCGUAGGCGGCUUUUUAAGUCGGCGAUGAAAUGCAGGGGCUCAACCUUUUGCGCUGUCGCCGAAACUGGAAGGCUUGAGAGUAGAAGAGGCAGCUGGAAUAAGUGGUGUAGCGGUGAAAUGCGUAGAGAUCACUUAGAACACCGAUUGCGAAGGCAGGUUGCUGGUCUACUUCUGACGCUGAGGCACGAAGGCAUGGGGAUCAAACAGG
rnacentral:rRNA from 1 species